rnacentral:lncRNA from 1 species
GACAAAUGGAAGUCAACUUCUGCAAGUUUAUUUUUGAAAGCAGGUGUCAUGCAUAUUUAUGUUUUUAUUAAGGAGUUUCUGUUGGGAAUGUUUUAAUAUAGAAUGUUAAUUUAUAUGGAGGAAGCCUGAUACUGUAGAAGACGGAAGUUUUGUGCCUGAGAUACCAGUCUUUAAUUGUGGAGAUAUUGAAGUGCCCACAAUAGGACAAACCAGUGAUGACUUUCAAGACAUUUCGUCAGAACAGACUGUUCCUGCAUAUACCAGACACUAAGGACAACAUUGAGAGAUGUGUAUUGGGAUGUUGCAGUGUAUUUAGAGAAUGAAAAAAGCUGUUCUCAGUUACUGUGCCAGGUGCCAUAUAACCUAAUUAAAAGGAAACAUGCUGCAGUCCAAGAGGCAUCAAAGACAAUCACCAUAGAAACACAAACAGAGGUGCCUUGCAUCCGUAUUGAAAAGCAUGGAGAUGAAUUAAAUUCCACAUUUAACAGUAGUGUGAAUGAAAGUUAUUCAAAGGAGGAUUUGGACUGGCAUCUAGAUGAAAGUUAUGUUAGUGACAUUGUAGAGGAAGAGAUAGAAGAAUAACCAUUGAAUAAAUGUACAGAGAGAAAAUUUAUCUUUUUUUGAAAAACAGUUGGACAAAUUGUUUGAAAAGUGUAAUUUAUGUGGGAGUAGACUUCUGAUUAGGAAGAGAACAAAUCAUCAGUGCAAAAUUCUUGUUGCUAUGGCAGCCAAAACAAAAGUAGAAAACAACAAGUAGAAAACCACUACGCCUUGGAGGGGAUGCCAGAUGUGAUUCACCAGGUCACACUGUAAAGUAUGGAUCAUACUCUCUGAUUGAUUUAGAAUGAUUCUGGAUUGCCAGUUAUUUCAGAGUAAUGAGGUAAAGAAUUCUUACUGGAUGGAGACGGAAGGUUUGAAGUCUUGUUUACAGUUUAUCAAUGUCUGAACAUUUCCCACCUUGUAACAGAGAGACUAGCUAAAAAUAUUCAGCUCAGAGAUGUUUAUAUGCUGUUAUGGAUCUCUGCGCUGAAACGAAUCCGGUACUGAAACCUAACCAGGAAUCA